rnacentral:rRNA from 1 species
GACGAACGCUGGCGGCGUGCUUAACACAUGCAAGUCGAACGGAAAGGCCCUGCUUUUGUGGGGUGCUCGAGUGGCGAACGGGUGAGUAACACGUGAGUAACCUGCCCUUGACUUUGGGAUAACUUCAGGAAACUGGGGCUAAUACCGGAUAGGAGCUCCUGCUCCAUGGUGGGGGUUGGAAAGUUUCGGCGGGUGGGGAUGGACUCGCGGCUUAUCAGCUUGUUGGUGGGGUAGUGGCUUACCAAGGGCUUGACGGGUAGCCGGCCUGGGAAGGUGACCGGCAACCAUGGGACUAAGGUACGGCGCAGCCGCCUACGGGGGGCAGCAGUGGGGAAUAUUGCACAAUGAUCGGAGGCCUGAUGAAGCAGCGCCGCGUGCGGGAUGACGGCCUUCGGCUUGUAAACAGCUUUCGCCUGUGGCGAAGAGUGAAUGACGGUAAUGGGUGAAGAAGCACCGGCUAACUACGUG